AGAGCUCAGGGAGAGCAUCUGCCUUGCAAGCAGACGGUCCCAGGUUCGAAUCCUGACAGCAUUG